CUAGAAAAGACAGGAACUGGUUAUGAGACAAGAGCCAGCCUAACAAGACAGGGCCAUCUGCAAGGCCCCUAGCCUAACAAGAUAAGGCCCCUAACCAAUCGGCAAGCUAGGAGAAUCAGAUAGAGACCACCAAGAUCC